CAUUAAUUAAUCGCGAAAUGCGUGUGUGCCUUGUAAGUCUGCGGAGCUUCCACUCUGGACUCUGCAGCACUGGCCCUCGCCUCCUUUUGAUUACAUCCCAUCUGUGAACUUUUCCACUGUUGCUUCCGUGAGCCUGCUGUUCACGCUCUCUGAGAGUGAAUGCCUGAAAAGCCCUGGUCCUACCAGGGGCGCACGGCAAUGGUACUAGAACUCUGGUUUUAUGUCUUCCAAGUCUGAGUGAUAAAACACAUCAAACAAGUUAAAACUUUCAACAACGGAUCUCUUGGUUCUCGCAUCGAUGAAGAACGCAGCGAAAUGCGAUAAGUAGUGUGAAUUGCAGAAUUCAGUGAAUCAUCGAAUCUUUGAACGCACAUUGCGCCUCCUGGUAUUCCGGGAGGCAUGCCUGUUCGAGCGUCAUGAAAACAUCCUCAAGCAACCUUGCUUGGUCGUGGAGGAAGAUGGUCUAUAGACCCUCCCCUCUGGAAUUCCUCAGCAGAGACCGCAAUAACCUCAGGUGUGAUAACAUUACCUCGCUUGAAGGUUGUGGUGAGCUCUCGCUGUGCAGAACCCCCCAGCAUUUACCAUGUUUGAC
rnacentral:rRNA from 1 species